UUAGGUCGACCCGCUGAAUUUAAGCAUAUCAUUAAGCGGAGGAAAAGAAACUAACAAGGAUUUCCUUAGUAACCGCGAGUGAACAGGAAUUAGCCCAUGCAUGAAUCCCGCAGAGUUAAUCUGUUGGGAAAUGUUGCGUAUGGGUGCACUCAUUGUCAGGGGCAACUAUCAUUAAGUUCACAUGAUUGUGACUCCCAUGGAGGGUGUAAGGCCCGUAGGGGAUAGUUGUACCAUGGCAUGAGUGUACUCUUGAGUCGUGUUGUUUGAGAUUGCAGCACAAAUUGGGUGGUAAACUCCAUCCAAGGCUAAAUAUAACACUAGUCCGAUAGCAAACAAGUACCGUGAGGGAAAGUUGAAAAGAACUUUGAAGAGAGAGUUCAAUAGUGCGUGAAAUUGCUCAGAGGUAAACGAGUGGAGCUGAAAGUGGCAUGGUGGUGUAUGUUUACUACUGGCGGAUGGCGCUUUUGUUAAGCUGUUUAACGGCUGGCACUGGUGUUUGUCUUGCCUUUAGUGAGCUAUUCUUCCCCAUGCCUUAACCACGAACAAUGCGGCGAGGCGCUGUCAUUGAAGGCAAGGUUGCGUGAUGCCCUAUCGUGUCACGUGUUAUAUGCCUUCUUUACGGUUUUUGCUUUGCCGUAUUGGGAUAUGCGGUUCAAGCCCUUAUUGGCACACAUGUCGAGCGACUUUGCAUUAGAUGUGGUUGACUUGUUUAAAGGUUAUCAUGUCUCUUGCAGGGCUUUCCGUUUGAUCUCUGUGUAUUGUUCCUAUAUUCUGUGGUUUAUAUAGUAAGUAGUCCACUCGACCCGUCUUGAAACACGGACCAAGGAGUUUAGCUUAUGCGCGAGUCAAUGAGUCUUACGAAACUCAACGGCGAAGUGAAAGUAAAGAUCUACUUUUUGUGGAUUUAGGUGUGAUAUGCGUAGCAUGACAUUAAAAUCUGCUUGCAUCGCAACACCGGCUCGUCCCAUUCUUUUUAAGAGGGGCGAAGCAAGAGCGCAUAGGCUGAGACCCGAAAGAUGGUGAUCUAUGCUUGUGUAGGCUGAAGCCAGGGGAAACUCUGGUGGAGGGCCGUAGCGGUUCUGACGUGCAAAUCGAUCGUCAAACAUGAGUAUAGGGGCGAAAGACUAAUCGAACCAUCUAGUAGCUGGUUCCCUCCGAAGUUUCCCUCAGGAUAGCUGGCACUUCGGAAACAAUUUUAUCUGGUAAAGCAAAUGAUUAGAGGUACUGGGGAAGUAAAUUCCUCAACCUAUUCUCAAACUUUAAAUGGGUAAGAUGUUGAACUCGCUUUAAUGGAGUUUGACAUCGAAUGUUAGUGCCAAGUGGGCCAUUUUUGGUAAGCAGAACUGGCGCUGUGGGAUGAACCAAACGUGAGGAUAAGGUGCCAAACAUAACGCUCAUCAGACACCACAAAAGGUGUUGGUUGGUCUAGACAGCAGGACGGUGGCCAUGGAAGUCGGAAUCCGCUAAGGAGUGUGUAACAACUCACCUGCCGAAUCAACCAGCCCUGAAAAUGGAUGGCGCUGGAGCGUUAGACCUAUACCUCACUGUAAUGGUAUUUGCCAAGGACACCAUUACAAGUAGGAGGGUGACAUGGUAUGCAUUGAAGCUGCGGGUGCAAAGCCGGGUGGAGCUGCCAUGUGUACAGAUCUUGGUGGUAGUAGCAAUUAUUCAAGUGAGAACCUUGAAGACUGAAGUGGAGAAGGGUUCC
rnacentral:rRNA from 1 species